UGGGGAAUAUUGCACAAUGGGCGAAAGCCUGAUGCAGCAACGCCGCGUGAGUGAUGAAGGUCUUCGGAUUGUAAAGCUCUGUCUUUUGGGACGAUAAUGACGGUACCAAAGGAGGAAGCCACGGCUAACUACGUGCCAGCAGCCGCGGUAAUACGUAGGUGGCGAGCGUUGUCCGGAUUUACUGGGCGUAAAGGGUGCGUAGGCGGAUGUUUAAGUGAGAUGUGAAAUACCCGGGCUUAACUUGGGUGCUGCAUUUCAAACUGGAUAUCUAGAGUGCAGGAGAGGAGAAUGGAAUUCCUAGUGUAGCGGUGAAAUGCGUAGAGAUUAGGAAGAACACCAGUGGCGAAGGCGAUUCUCUGGACUGUAACUGACGCUGAGGCACGAAAGCGUGGGUAGCAAACAGGAUUAGAUACCCUGGUAGUCCACGCCGUAAACGAUGAGUACUAGGUGUAGGAGGUAUCGACCCCUUCUGUGCCGCAGUAAACACAUUAAGUACUCCGCCUGGGGAAGUACGAUCGCAAGAUUAAAA
rnacentral:rRNA from 1 species